GGAGUCCGCGCGGAGUCAGGUGUGCAGCGCGGGCUGGGGCGCUGCCUGGUGGCUGCGGCCGGUAGCACCUCUGAUGGCACGGACGCCUGUCUCGGAUACUAUCCUGGAGACGAGCGAAGGCCUGGAGGUGAGGCCGCUGCCACCGCACUUAGCCCCGUGACUCCCCCAGGGACGGGCAGAGGAAUGGCGAGCUAGCCUCUGCCCCGGCGUGCCCCUGCAGGAGGGAGCGACUUCGCCUCCCGAGAGUCGCUUAGAAUUAGGGCUGCCCGCACCCGGAGGGCCACUUCUUUCGCUGCCUGACCCCACCUGUCAUCCCCAGCGGUCCUCAUGGACGAAAUAAGUUUCCCCCAGAAUAGACAUUUAUAGGCAUUUUCUUUUUCCUUCUUCGUCGUCUUUUUUUUUUUUUUUCUUUUUUGCCAUUCUGAAAAUAUAAAGCACCUACCGCUGCCAGGCGCUGUGCUGUGACAGUCUAAAUUCCAUGCGUAGGCAAGGUCUUUGCUCAAAACGUUAAGUGCCGGCACAAGCCUUAUCUGCUUCUUUUAAAGUGAUCCUCUUCUUUCGAGUGUGGGGCAAUAAUAUUCAUGACAAGCAUUUAUUACUUAGGCCGACUCUCCCUGCUGUGCUUGAUUUUAAAGAAAAAUAACUGCUAAGGUUAAUUGAAAUUUUACCUUGUGCCAGUCAUGGUAUUAAGCAUAUAAAGUGGAUCGUCUUACUAAUCCUGAGAACAGCCCUUUGAGGUUAAUCUCCUGGAGCAGAGAAAAGAGGCAGCCAAGGAAGAAUUGCUGAACCAGUUAGGAGACUACUGCAGCCAUCCCAGCAAGAGAUGAUAAUGUGGACUCAGGGGAUGGCAGAGCAGACACAGAAAAGUGGACAGGUUGCAGAGGUCAUGGAAGAGCCGGCGUGUGGGGGAACUUUUAUUCUUAUGUCCAAAUAUGUAAUCUACUCAGAUGUAGCUUCUUUC